UAUAAAGUCUGACCUGCCCAAUGAGGAUUUAAAUGGCCGCGGUAUUUUGACCGUGCAAAGGUAGCAUAAUAAUUAGUUUUUUAAUUGAAAGCUGGAAUGAAUGGUUGGACGAGAAAAUAGCUGUCUCAGAUUAAUUUAAUUAGAAUUUUAUUUUUAAGUAAAAAAGCUUAAAUUUUUUUAAAAGACGAGAAGACCCUAUAGAGUUUUAUAUAUUUAUAAUUAAAUAUAAUUUAGUAUAGUUGAGUUUUUAUUUUUAAAUGUAUUUUAUUGGGGUGAUAAAAAAAUUAAUAAAACUUUUUUUUUAUAUUAACAUUAAUUUAUGAAUUAUUGAUCCAUUUUUUAUGAUUAAAAGAUUAAGUUACCUUAGGGAUAACAGCGUAAUUUUUUUUUAGAGUUCUUAUCGAAAAAAGAGAUUGCGACCUCGAUGUUGGAUUAAAAUUAAUAUUUGGUGUAGAAGCUAAAUAAUUAGGUCUGUUCGACCUUUGAAAUUUUACA
rnacentral:rRNA from 1 species